AGAGCGAACGCUGGCGGCAUGCUUAACACAUGCAAGUCGCACGGGCAGGGGUAACUCUGUCAGUGGCGGACGGGUGAGUAACGCGUAGGUAUCUAUCCUUGGGUGGGGGACAACUGUGGGAAACUACAGCUAAUACCGCAUGAUAACUGAGGUUUAAAGGCGCAAGUCGCCUGAGGAGGAGCCUGCGUACGAUUAGCUAGUUGGUGGGGUAAAGGCCUACCAAGGCUGUGAUCGUUAGCUGGUCUGAGAGGAUGAUCAGCCACAUUGGGACUGAGACACGGCCCAAACUCCUACGGGAGGCAGCAGUGGGGAAUAUUGGACAAUGGGCGAAAGCCUGAUCCAGCAAUGCCGCGUGUGUGAAGAAGGUCUUCGGAUUGUAAAGCACUUUCGACGGGGACGAUGAUGACGGUACCGUAGAAGAAGCCCCGGCUAACUUCGCGCCAGCAGCCGC
rnacentral:rRNA from 1 species